CCCAUUUCCAGGCCAUCUGGUUGCUGUGCACGGGCGCCCGCGAGGCCGCGUUCCGCAACAUCAAAACCAUCGCUGAGUGUUUGGCUGACGAGCUCAUCAACGCUGCCAAGGGCUCUUCCAACUCCUACGCCAUCAAGAAGAAGGACGAGCUCGAGCGCGUGGCCAAAUCCAACCGCUGAAAAUCCCAAAAAACCCCCAAAAUUCCCAAAAUUUUGGGAAAAUUCCAAAUAAAAAUCGUGGAUUUUGGAUC